rnacentral:rRNA from 1 species
GACGAACGCUGGCGGCGUGCCUAAUACAUGCAAGUCGAGCGGACUUUUGGGAGCUUGCUCCCAAAAGUUAGCGGCGGACGGGUGAGUAACACGUGGGCAACCUGCCUAUAAGACUGGGAUAACUUCGGGAAACCGGAGCUAAUACCGGAUAAUUCCUUUCCACUCAUGAGGGAAGGUUGAAAGACGGUUUCGGCUGUCACUUAUAGAUGGGCCCGCGGCGCAUUAGCUAGUUGGUGAGGUAACGGCUCACCAAGGCGACGAUGCGUAGCCGACCUGAGAGGGUGAUCGGCCACACUGGGACUGAGACACGGCCCAGACUCCUACGGGAGGCAGCAGUAGGGAAUCUUCCGCAAUGGACGAAAGUCUGACGGAGCAACGCCGCGUGAGUGAUGAAGGUUUUCGGAUCGUAAAACUCUGUUGUUAGGGAAGAACAAGUACGAGAGUAACUGCUCAUACCUUGACGGUACCUAACCAGAAAGCCACGGCUAACUACGUGCCAGCCGCCGCCGUAA